GUGAUAUUCUUGUCUGGUAUCCUUUGGCCUCAUGUGCGUGUCUGAAACGGUGAGAUUGGCAGGAGAAAAAAACCCAAUUGCAGUGAAAAUGUAGUUACGAAAUGAAGUGGCCAUGAAAGUAAUUUGCUGAAUUGAAACUUUGAAAAGAAAGGGAGAGAGAAAAGGCGAAAAAUAUAGGUGAAGGGUAGAAAUAAAAGGUGUUUGUUAUUAUUAUUUUUUUUGAUAAUGGGAGCACAUUGGGAUUUUAAUAUUAUAAAUGGUUUUGGUUGUCCUCCGAGUCUUUUCUUGCCAAAAACAGUGAAAACUCAUGAAAGUGUUGGACUUUUCAGGUCACAAUCUUCAAUCAAAGAGGACCCCUCUUUUUUUCUAGUUUAUUUUGCCUCUUUUCCUGUUCAUGGAUCCCAAGGGCUCAAACUCAAAGAAACCACAUGAACUACCUAAUUUCUUGACCCAUCCUCCUCAAACCCUACAACAGCAACGACAAGAACAACACCAAAAUCAAAACCAACAACAGCCACGGCAGGCAAGCAUGGGAGAGAACAA
rnacentral:misc_RNA from 1 species